CGGUGGCCGCUGGAGCGGGUUCGGUCAUGGCAGCUGGCCAGGCGGUGGUGGUGGGUGCAAGUCCUCUGAGGGAAAGCUGCUGUGUUUCUGUCGUUUUUCAUGUGUUAUUAUAUAUUCCCGGUAUAUUAGAGCCUGGAGUAGAGCAGCCUGAGGGGUACGUGCCAUGAAGAACAGCUCUUGGGUCAACCAGGCAGUAAAAGGAGGCCUGGGUUGUGCAGUGCCAUCGUGCCUCUUGUGUCACAGACCAGCCCUAUUUCGUGCUGCUGCUUCUUUGUGGAGGGGUCUUGCAGGACAUGUGUUAGCUUUGUGAAGUUUUAUUAAGUGCUGCCUUUUCCUGAGGAAGGGUGCAGAUGUGCAAUUUUUGCAUAACAGAGUGAUGGGACUGUUAAGGAUGGAAGGGACCUCCUAAGAUUGUGCUGAACUCCUUGCUUCAGCAGGAGUACCUACAGCAGGACCACGUCCAUCAAGUUUCAAUAUUAUGAAGGAGAGAGAUUCCACAACCUCUCAGGGUAACCCGUGCCAGUGUUUCCUGAAGUUCAGAGGAAAUCUUCUGUGUUUCAGUUUGUAUCCAUUCUUUCCUGUCCUGCCACUGGGCACUACUGACAAGAGCCUUGCUCUGUGCUCUUUGCACCCGCCCUUCGGAAACCUACAGUAGGACAUUGAUAAGUACCCUGUGAGCCUCCUCCAAUCUGAGCAGUUCCAGCUCUCUCAACCUCCUCAUGUGGGAGGAGUCACUUCAUCAUGUUUGUGGCCCUAAGCUGGACUUGUUCCAGUAAGUCCGUAUAUUUCUUGUAUUGGAGAGCAGAGAACUGAACCAAGGUGUGGCCUCACUAAUGCUGAAUAGAGAUCACCUCCUUUGACCUGUUGGCAAUGCUCUUCCUAAUAUAGCCCAUGAGGGCUGAGUCAGCCCUCAGCAUGCAAUGAGUUAUUUCUCCCUAGAUGCAGAAUUUGGCAUUUCCCCUUCCUGAACUUCAUGAAGUUCCUCUCAACUCAGUUCUCCAGCCUAACCAAAUGGCUAUGAAAUAAUCUGCUCAAUAGAUGAACGGGGAACAGUGGAUGUGUUAAUUGUGCAAAUUUUUCAAAACUGUAAAACUGAUGAAGUGCAGACAAGGUAGGUGGACCAGUGGUGUGGACCAAAAACUGCUUGGGCUUCCAUGCUCAGAGAGUUGUGAUCAGCAGCACAAAAUUCAGCCGGAGACCAGUCACUAGCAGAGUAGUCCAGUUACUGAAGCCAGUACUUUUCAACAUCUGCAUUUAUUGCCUGGCUGAUGGGAAAGAGGCCACCCUCAGCAAGCUUGCUGGGGAUGCAAACCUGGGUGAAGUGGCUGAUAGACCAGAGUGGAGUGCUGCCAGCCAGAGAGAUCUGGACAAAUGGACUGACAGGAACUUCAUGAAGUUCAGCAAGGGCAAAUGGCAACUCUUGCCGUUGAGGAGGAAUAAUCAGUACAAGGUGAGCCUGGCUGGCUGAAAAGCAUCUUUAAAGGAAAGGAUAUGGAGGUACUGAUGGACAUCAAGUUGAACAUAAACCAGUGUUGUUCCCUUGAAGCAAAGAAGACCCAGCAGUACCGGGGCUGCUUUAGGAAAAGCGUUUCCACUUGGUUGAGGAAGGUAACCCACAGAAUGUUGUUGAACUACAGCCUCCAUCUUCUCUAGGCUUUCCGUAUCUUAACUUCUGUUCACUCAAGGCAUAUGCCAACAAAGUGAAGAUUUUUGUUGAAAUUUUAAAAAUUCAACAAAUUAUUUUGAUGAGCUAACCCCCAAAUUUCAUAGGUGUAUCCAGCUAGCAUUCACCUGUAUGUCUGGUCUUAUUCGUGAUAGAAUUUUGGGGGAGGGCUCUAGUAUGUUGUUACUGUGUACAUAUGUGAUACAUUUUAUUUUGAUUACUUUAAAUCUGGAAUCUGACACACAGGCUGAAAGCUAACAAUGCAGUAUGUUUGUAAAAGAUCUUGUAACCUUCAGAAUUUGUGUCAGAAUACCUGCCUGAUAUGAUACAGAUAAAUAUCGCUAUACUCUCCUAGAUGGAAACGACAUGUAAAGACAUCAAGACCUGAUUUUGCAAGUCAGAUGCAGAUUCAUUGGAAGUGGCAGGAAAGAAAAUAUGAAGGGGAUUGAAGUUCUCUCUUUUUUUCCUUAUUAACCUUCUUGAUGCAGCAUAUACUUUGUGUCCUGUCAUUAGAGAGAUUCUGUACAAAUUGCCUUUCCCAUUGUUAAUAUCACAUCUGCCUUUAGAGGUGUCAAUGACUUUUGCAUGCCUCGUGACUUUUGGAGUCUUCUUCCCUUUAAUUUGGUUUUCUCUUCAGACUCACUGAACACUUGAAGCUUCAGAUGAAAUAGAUUGAACCUGUUAGAUAUUCAUUAUCUCUGGAGAUGAUGUUCUGUGUUUCUCAGCAUGAAUAACCGAAAGUAGAGACACCUAAAAGUUUGAGUGUAACUGACUUUGAUCAAAAUUAUAUGACAAGGAAGACAAGGAAGAAGCUUGUAACAGAAUCCAAAAUAUCAGUGCCUAGCCACUUAUAAAAAUCACUUCCAGAGCUGAUGUGAAAAAAGGCUGUCUUUAAGGAGAGAAAUAUAAAGGUAAAAUAAGUACAUAGGAAAUUAUAAAUGUAUAUACAAUGUAUGUUUCUCAGUAAUCAAUUAUUUCAUUAAAUAGGGAAGCAAUUGUUUCUGAAAGUAUUCUGUCACAUCAUUCAUCUUCUUUUUCUUUUACUGAAAUGUUUGUAGAAAAUUUACUUAAAUAUAUACCAGUAUAAAAGGACAGAAUAAAUAUUGAAUGCCUCUCAUUAAGCAAUGAUCAAUAAAGCUUUUGAAGAUAAUAAUGAAGCCAAUCUAUUCACUCGCCAGGUUGUUUUUUGCGUGUUUAAAACUGUUCUGAUUUAACUGUUGAUUAAAAUUGAUUUGCCUUUUUAUGAAAGGCAGCCUGAAUCAAACAAAGUCUGAUAAUAGUUACACAGACACAUAUAGAGAUGUGCAAUGAGACAUCAUACGUGUUAUGCACUUACUAAUCCAGUGCCAGAUGAUGUUUAACUUUCUGGGGACACAGUGUGCCUGGUAUAACUGCUGCAAAAAGGUAUUGUAAAUGAAGAGCUUAACUGGAUGUAUCCUAGAAGACCUUUCCUAAGGCCAGUUACAAAAUGAUUUAGAUGCAAAUUAACUGAUGGAAGUAUACAUUUCUAUGCAGCAAAGUGUUAUUGAGUAGUUAAUAUGUACUAUAAGAUCAUCAUACUCUAAAGACAAUGUGAUAACUAUAGCCAUAUUUACUUUGCAGUCUAAAGGGUACUUUGCAAAGCACUGUUCUAAGUGUAGUGAUAGACAGACACUCAGAAUUGGAAUUUAAGGCCAAAUCUGUGGAUAAGAAGCUUUUUCUGACUUACAGUUUGAGUGGGAUGCAUUUUUGAAAACGAUGGAUUAAACUGUUGUUGCAGUGUUGGAAAAGCUAAUAUAAUUGAGCGUAUCGUUCUGCUAAAUUACAGUUGAACUAAAAAUUUGAAAAUUUAACUACAGAUUAUGAAGAGAUGGAGGUGGUGCUUUUUUUUGUUUGGAUCUCUUUCUGUUUAAUAGCAGUGAGGUACGGCAUUUUUUGUAACUUUUAAUAAUUGAUUUUUUUUGAGAAAUUGAGUAUGUGUAAAAAAGAAGUCCUUGUUAAAGCUGAUGCCUUACAGUAGCCAUUCUGAUGUCUUUCUCGUAUGUCUUCAGAUGCUGACUUACUUUGCUGUAGAACAUUCUAUGAAUGGAGGCUCCAUGUCAUGUCUUGUGUGUGUUACUUGGUUAUUCCUUACAAUGUUUAUUUGCAAGUUGGUCACUCGCUUCCUACAUGGCAUUGACAAGCAUUCUAGGGAAAAUAAAUAUCCACCAUCAGCCUUUUCAAAUCCAUGGUUGACUUGAAAUUUAGGUUAGAUCUGAGAACACAGUCAUUUCUUCUAUCUUCCUAAAUUACUGAAUUCUUAGCUUUUUAACAAUCACCAAAGAAUUUCAAACUUUUUUUGCCUACAGAACUUCCAGGGUUGUCAACAAUUUCUGCAGCAAGAGAGGUUGUUCAAAAAGUGGUAAGUCUGUCUAUUUCUGCUCCAGAUGUUGCCUACUGGAAGACGCCAUUCUUACAACCAGAAUUUGUUGCCCAAGUAUGAGAAGGGAUGAUAUUGCUGGAAAGUAUGACUAAAUUAAUUACCUUUUUUUCCUUCCUUUAAACAGCUCAGCACCUCAGAAAAGACAUCAUUCAUUUUUUGUUCCUCCAUGUCUCCCACCUAAAUAGUGAUUUGGCGAGAUAAAGUGAUUUUAGAGAUAACCCCUACAAAACCACAGACUUAGGCUGAGUUUGGCUAGGAUUUGCCUUUUUCUAGUUUUAAAUUUGACCUGUUAAUAAAGGUGAAUAUUUCUUUAUUUUUCAAAGUCGAAUUGUCUUCUGUUCUCUGACGGCACGCAGCUAUUGAUGAAACGAGCUGAUAGAUUUGGUCUACUAGUGGAAAGCCCAAAGUACAAAAGCCAUUAUAACAUCAUUAUUGAUGGUUUAUGCAAAUUCAUGUAUGAGAUGGCCUGAAAUUCUUUGUUGUGAGCAAUAAAGAUUUGCCACAAUUUUUGUACCAUAAGAAGCAAUAUUUAAUUGAUAACUUAAAAAUAGUAAUUCAGCAGGAUCUGAUGAUUGAAAUGUAAUUUAAUAUACUAGAAGCAUCUGUUAAUUAAAAUUUCCAUGCUUAAUGGUAUAAUAAAGUUUAAUACUACUCUCAUUUUGUUGUUACUUAAAUUGUCGUUUGAGCUUUCAUGAGCUAUGAAGGACAUGAUACAUAUUUUCCCCAGUCUACAAUUUUAUGUUUUCUUAGAUGUCCACGAUAGCUGAGAAUGAAUAACAUUUAUAAUUCUCAUAUGUAAGUAAUGCUGACAUCUCAAUGUUAAGUGCCCCUAAAUAUUCCUUUCUAGCAAGGCUAAAUAUAACUGUAAUUGGACCAGCGGGAACCUGACAGUUACAGCAAUUACAUGCUCAGCAAAAACAUUUUGAAGAACUUUGUGGAAGCAACUACAGAGCGAGGAAGAAUUGCAGAAUGCUGUAUUUUAAGGCCAUAAGAAAUCCCUGUGUCUUGGUCCCUGCAAGAAGCCAUAGAACUUUCAGAAGUUUAAAAGUGUGCUGGCUGAACUAAAAAAUGUAAAAAUCCUUCUGAUUAUAAAUAAUUUGUCACUUCCCAGCCUUAGCUGUCUGAGCUGUCUAUUGUUUGCUUACAUUUACUUUGUCAGGAGGCUUUAGUAAUGCACUGACUCAACACUUAAUUAUAAUCAGCAGCAAGGAAAAGACACUGCCUUGAGAGAUGCUGUUUCCAUCUUUCCCCAGGCAUAGUUUCUAAAUUUCAGAUGAGGUUCCCCACGCAACACCUCUUACUCCUUUUCUCAUGACUGAUUGCAGAAGCCUGUAUUCCAGCUUCAAAAUGAAAAUAAAUUGAGGUUUUUAGCCCCCUUGGAUUUUUUUUCGUGAGGCUCACUUCUGAGCCUCAUGGCUAUGAUCUGAUUUAUCCAUAGUCUUUAACCGUGUGGGCCCAAAGCUGUUGUUUUUUCCCCCAGGGCAGAUUUAUCAGUCCUAUUCCUUGCAUCUCUCUGCUCACUCACGUUUCUCUUCAUGUAAUGGAAACUGCACAAUGGAAAAAAGAUGCUGUAAAAAUCAGAACUUAAAAAUUGUCCAUCCGGACAAUUAAGAACUGGAUUAAAAAUACUUCUUUUCAAUUAAGAAAUGCUCUUUUCUCUAAAUGUUAUUAAUUUAUUUAACUAUACUGAACCUAUCCCAGUCUGACAACACUGUGACAUGGUUAAAAACCAGCUUUUUUUUUUUCAGCAAAGCAAGUGAGAAUUUAAUGUGUUGAAGCAUAAGGUUAAUUGGGUGUGCAAUGCAACAAAUGUUAGCCUUCAGAAAAUCACCCAGGCAGUCAUUAGACUUAACCCUCUAAUUUGUAGCAGAGAUCUCCUGCACCAAGGAGAUCCAUAAUUCGACUAUGUACAGACUGAACAUUUCCUUUCCUUAGUUUUUCAUUCCCAGCUGUCAACUCAGAUGAGAUCUCACUACUGCACAGCAGGUGGAGGAUGAGGCAAAAACUGAACUCUUUACAUCUAGGCUGGUCAUUGUUUGGGUGAUCUGAAUCUUUUUCCCUAUUUUUUUUUCCACUACGUGGCAUCUCAUUUUUUUAAAAUACCUGCAUCAGAAUGUAACAUUGGUGUUGUUAUGAAUCUUUUACAUGAUAUUUAUUUUCAAUCAUGCCCAUUGAUCUGAAAUGAAUAUUCUAAACAACUACAAACACUCAAGUUCAGUAUAUGAUAGAUACUUGCUUUAAAUUUACAGAUGUUAUAAGGGUAAGCUGCGGAUACUGGGCAUGUGAGAAGUAAAAAUAGCUGCGACAGGGUGUGACAGUUCUGAAAUUAGCUGGGGUCUGGCAUGCAGGAAUUUGAAUGGGAAGCAGCAGAAGCAGAAAACUUAGGCGAGGGCAGCUGACAGAAAGAGGCUUUCUGACAGUAUUCCAGGGAAUGAAAGUUAGAAAGGUCACUGACUUUAGAAGCAGACAGUGACAGUGUUCUCUCUCCAUUUUUUACUAACUUUCAUUUUUUGCCCCUCAGAUUUUCCAUGCUUAAGGCUCGUAUUGCUGUUGAUGACCUUGGGUUUUGUCUAUAUUAUCCGCCUGUUCCUUCACUCUACACCAUCUAACUGUUUUGUUUUUCACAUUCUUCUCUACCUUUUAUAGAUUCCCCCACGUGCCUGGAAUUUCUUGGAACAUGAGGUUUGCUGUUUGCCCCUCUUCUUGGUGUCCUUCCUCAGAAAAGGUUUCCCUGCAAACCCUAGCCCUGUUCAAGCCCACUAUUAGAGACCUAGAAAAGCACUGAGCCAGUCCCUGACAGGGAGGUUUGCAGCAAAAACAUGCAAAGAGAUAAUACCAGUGUGCACUGCCUAACAUUCCUGAAGCUAGAAGCAUUGGCUCCCAUCCUGCUCAGCUGCUGCAGGUCUCACCUUGCAUAACACAGGUGAUGGUUGUGUUCCUGAUCUCAGUAGGUGCCUAAGAGAAGCAUCUCUGUGUUCCUGGGCCCUAGAGCAGACUCUUGGUGCAGUAGCAUGGUUGCUCUCAGGUAGAAAUGCUUGGUGCAGCAGUUACAUGCCACUGGUGCACCUCAAUCAGGGGGCUGCUGGCCUAUCCUCACACCAUGCAGCUGCCAACAGGUGGGAGAGAUGGGAGCUAUGACUCCUGAUCUUGUUUUUAGUUAUCUGAGAAGAUUCUUCUAGAGUUUAAAAUGCCUUGAUAAUUUCACAAGGAAGUCUGAGAUAGUUUUGGAAUAGCAACUGCAAUAGCAGCUGGGUUGAUGGAAAUAUAAGUGAUGCAGCCAGGGAAGAGUCAAAUCACAACUGAAAGAAUAACCAAGAGUAAACAUUUACAGGAAACUGCGUAUAAAAAUGCAUUUGAAGAUUUUUGGAGAUGAAGUUCCAGGGAGAUAAAACGGAACAGUUCUGCAGAACACAAGCUAUUUUGAUGCACUGCACACACUAUUUUUGAUUUUGGUACUGCUUUUAUAUACCGUACACUUCCCACAGAUCUACAAGACUGAGGUCAGCAAACAACUUUCUUUUUCUGUGUAAACGCUGGUAUGCAAGACUCCUUCUGAAGCUGCUGUGCCUGCAGAAGCAUAAGAUAACGGCAAGGAUAUUUACUAGAAGAUCUAUUGUUUGCCUUUACAGCUUCUCCUCCCAGCAUGCAUUAAGCAGAACGAGUUUUGCUGCCAGGAUCUUUCUCUGCUGUCUUGGGAUGGAGGAGGGAGAAGUGUCCACUGAUGAGACAGCUGAUUCUGAAGUAGUCUGAAUAGGACUCCACUGUAAAGAACUUCGAGCGCUAUGAAAUAAACCUCUAACAUUUCAUCUUUUCCAAGACAUCAUCUGAAGAAAGUGAAAAAAGAAGUGAUUUUGUCCACUUAAAGUCAAUUUCUACUGAGAGCUGUAUCAGAAGAGUCCCAGCAUCGUGACUGAGUUUGGGCAUCUAGCCGUGAGUGUUCAUUCCCACUUCUGUAGGGGACUCCCACAUGCAGCUCCUGCCUUCUCCCUUACUGUGGUAUUUUACAGAGCCUCGGAGAUGACAAAGCAGCUGCUUCCCCUGUGCUUGACUGAACGCUUUCUCUACACACCACUGGGGACCUAAAGCUCUCCAGUGCUGCACAGAAAAAUCUAAGCAAGCUCUGAACAGAAGUAAUAUAGCCAAAGGAGCAUGACUCCGUGUCCUAAAACAACCAUCUCGCAAGCUCUAAUGUGAAGAGGCAUGUUAAAUUGUUUACCUGCAUUCUGCUACCAAAGCUGCUGGGGUGUCUCUUCUUCAUGUGGCUUUGUACAAGGUAUCUGCAGUGUUUAAAAAUGGAAACAGAGUUAAUCAGCAAUGUUAGCCAGCCUAGUGUCUCUCAUUCAUAUUAAAGAUGUUGGUUGCUGCGCCCCAUCAUUCCAAUAAGUUAAGACUGCCUGCUCAUCAGUUUUCUAGAGUACACCAAGAAUACUCAUGCUGUCCAAUAUGCUGCAGAACAACUUCUGAUAACACCUACGUAACAGCUUUAUUAUCUCUCCUUGGAUUGUCCCUUAAAAUAGCUCUUUGUGCCUGUAAUUUCUGCCAGGAUGUGGUGAUGAUGAGUCUGUUGGCUUGCAAAUGCUGUUGUGUAUCACACCAAUCAAUACUGUCUGAUUGGUUCUUAUCUGCCUGUAAUGCUUUGUUGUCUACUUGCUGAGGUUGUGAGUGAUUAAGGCAGCCUUCUGAGUUUGUAGAGCAUUUCAUGCAGAAACUUGAUAGAUAUUGGGUUUCUAAGUCCUGGGGUAAUACAUGAAUUAUUAAUAAUAAUAUUAAGCAGCAAGCAAUAUUUCUCUAACAUCCUGCCUCUCUGAGCUUGCACAUGACCCCUCAGCCUCUCAUGCCUUUUGCCACCCCCAAGCACACUCAUGCAACUCAGCAUAUGUGGGAGCGAUUUGCAGCUGUUGAUGUUAAGUAUGUCUGUCUUUAAUAAUUGAAAAGAAUUAGCAUAAUUCUUGACUCGUUGAAUUUCUGUGGGAGAACAGCAACUUCCAGUGGUCAUUUAGAGUCUGGUCAUGUUCUAACAGACUUCAGUGACAACAGUAUUAGGUCCUUAAUGUAUACUUGGCUUUAAAAUUUUCCUUGAAGCCCUGAAUUAUACAUUCAUGACUAAUAUUUCAUACCACAUAUAGUUGUUAGCGCUGCACUCCUUUAAAGGAUUAUUUUGCAGUUGUUUACCUUUGCCAAGGGCCUUGAAAUCCAGAAAUAAAAAAACCUCUGUGGAAACAAGAAGUACUAACUUACAGAGCUGGUUCUUUUCACUAACUCUUUAAAAAGAGUUUGUGCAAUUCAUGCAGUUUGUCAGAGAAUGGCUUAGGAAUGAAAGAUUUGGGGUUCGUGGGGUGGAAAGAAAAGGAGAUCAAGAAAAUCUUCUCUGUUGGUAGAAACACCGAAAGGAAAAUUAAUUCAGAAAGUAGUAAGUAUCGUUUUGCACGUUCACAAAUGUGGAUAUUGUGUAAAUGCACUGAUGUUAUCAGUACUACGGGUGAAAUAUGAAGAAUAUUGUUUCUGGUGACAGAGAUCAUGGUUUAGAACUGCAAUUUUAGUAUAGGCAGUCUGUAACAACUAUCCCAUGCCUUGACAUCCAAACGUGUGCAUGCAUGGAGCAAGAUUGAUGCAGUGGCUGGAUAGAUAGGUAUGGAGGUGCCAAGAUGCCUGUUCUAUGUCUCUACAGGCACGACUAGCUCAUCCUCAUCUCAUGCUUGGAUUGGCUGCUCCUACUUCUUGAGGAGUGCCACCUGAAGCCUGCAAACUCAUCCUAAUUUCUGUCCUCCUCUGUUCUUCCACCCACUGUGAGUAUGCUCUGCCCAAGAGAUCGCUUGGGCUAAGAGCAUGUGUAAGAGCUCAUUCCUAAAUCAGGGAGUGCCUGGCCAAAGCAGAAAAAAGAAAAUACUAACAAAAAGAAAUUAACAGGGGAAAAUUAGUAAUGAAAAGAGGAAUGAGUUGAACUAAGACUAAUCAAAACCAUAGGCAACAACUAGACCAUGAAAAAUGAUCACAGCCAACAUUAGCUGUGCUGCAGCUGGUGUGUGCUCAGGGACAAAACAGCAGAAACAGAAGAAAUGUGUGUAUUUGAGUCUUUCUUUCAGGUAAAGUUACUUAUCUUUGUUUCUCUACUGAGGAAUUCAGAAAUCAGUAGGGAUUUACCAAUCAUUUCCUUUUUUUUUUUUUUUUUUGUCUUGUAUUCCUUUUCUCUAUGACAUUUGAAAGUAGAAUUUGAAAAUAGAAAGUAGGAAAUUAGAGACUAGUGUCUACAAGAGAUGGUGCACAGGGUAAUGAUAUUGUUUUUUAGACGUACAUGCGUAGUCCUGAUUUCCUUUCAAAGAAUAAGGAUUCUUAUCCUCUAGGAAAUCUCUAUUUUAAUUCUGCAACUGUGGUAAAAAUAUGAAUAGAUCACUGCUCUAUUCGAAAAAUCAGGUGCGCUUCACUCUGUCUUCAAAUCUACGGCCUCUAUACAUCAUUUUAGGCCAAUAGGAGGAAUUAUUAAUUUUUUUUUUACGUAAUAUCAUCCAUAAAGUCUCAGAUCUGCUUUGAGAUUCUAUAGCACCAAGCAGUGCACAAACACUGGACGUAUACCUCCCUACAUUAUUUUCUUAAAUUUUAUAUGUCUUGGAAACCGGCCAUUGUGGGAAGAGCAACUCAGCACAAAUGUAUCCAAGAAGGAUACAACUUGCUGGCAAAUGGAAGGAAAGUUCUGUGAAUCUGCCUUUCUACACUGUAAAGUAAAUGAAUAUUCAUCUUCUUCAUGAUUUGGAAAUGUACUGAAAUAAGUAUAUUAGUGCUCAUGAAACCCAGUAAAAACUCUAGUGACUACACAGCCUUGUGUGAAACUCUUUUGAUUCCCAUAGGAGUUAUACGGGUUUAUCAAGACUCCCACAUUUUUUUAUACUAUUGACUUUGUAAUUUAGUAUCUACAUUCUAAUGGCCUAUGUGGAAUUGGCGGAAAUCAAUAUAGUACAAGGAUGUGCUUUAAAUAUGACUGUCUUCAUGAUUAGGAAAAAUGUAUGCCUUCUCAGUUUCAUCUUUCUGUUUUCUGCAUAGGCCAAUGGUAACAUAAAUAAUUUUAAAACAAUGCACCAACUCACUUUGUCUGUGUCCUUGGUUAGUUAAAUUAUUAAUAUAUACUUAGUGCAAGAUGGAUUUCAGCUAACUUUUGCAGCCUGCAGUACGUGCAUUUAUAUCUAACUUUGCUUUUUGGGACAGUUGGUGUGGGAAACAUAAAUGUAAGUAGUAAUGCAUAUCACGAUAUGUUCCUUAAAUAAAGCG